GGGGCCGUAGCUCAGUUGGUAGAGCGCAUCGUUCGCAAUGAUGAGGUCAGGGGUUCGAUUCCCCUCGGCUCCACCA
rnacentral:tRNA from 15 species